GUAGCUCAGCGGUAGUGCACCUGCUUUGCAUGCAGAAGGUCCCAGGUUCCAUCCCUGGCAACA
rnacentral:tRNA from 1 species